CUCUCGGCGACCGCAAGUCCCGGCUCGCCCGGCGCCUGCGCGGCACGGGGGUGGGAGCUGCGGCCGGCCAUGUGCGCGGUGGAGCAGCCCGGCUGGUGGCCGAGUCUUCCCGCCUCUUUCUGCGGGGGCUGGCGGUUGGGAUACUGAAUGAGAACUAUAGCAGCUAAGAAAGGAAUGGACAUCUAUCUGCUCAUUUUCUCCCUCCAUAGAGAAAUGAGUGAAAGCCUGGCACAACAGGUAAACAAACUCACGUGUGAAAAUGUGAAAGAUUUUGGAGGUCUUGUUGUCCUCUCCUUUCCUGUUAAGUCAACUACGGUCCCAAGACAAGAGUUAAAGGUGUACUAUACCUUAAGGAAACCAUGAAAACUGAAUUUAUAAAAUUCUAGACCUAACUCACCAAGCUUUGGUUCUCCAAGAAUUCUUUUGACCAUUAUUACAUGUAUUUGUGUUGGUUACUGUUCAAGAUACGGAACUGGUCUUCUCAUCUUACUUUCAGAACAUAAAUUAAGAGCUCAACCUUGAUGGCUUUAUGCUAACCUUGAGGACAUUACACUAAGUAAAAUAACUCAGAAAAAAGCAAAUACUGUAUGAUCUCACAUAUACCAAAU